CGUCGGCGCAGGCGUCUUUUUGUUCUCCGGUAGCACGGAAUUGUUCACGUCCAUCAAGAUAGCUACCACCCAUGUCGCCGAUGGUGGCAUCACGAGAUGCCGCUGUUCUCGCAGCGCUGAAGCAGCUGGAGGAUGUGCGUGAGCGCCUGCACAGCGCCCUUCGCGAAGCCGCCUUCAGCUUCACGAUUGCGCAGCGGGAAGAGGAAUCGACGCGAGGCUGUUUCGUAUCCUUGGAUGCGGUACCCACGGCUCAAGGCACUCUCGAAGCCCUCGUGUCUCUCACACAGACGUCCGCCACUACCUUGACAAGUGGUGUCGAGGAGACCCGCUGUGGCGAGAUCGAUGAGGCUGCCAGAAGUCGCAGCAGCAGUUGUGCGUGGGAGAUGCUGCUGAUAAGCGGUGAGCGAAGGAAGAAGCAGAUUCCCGCAGCUGCGUCACAGCACGCACCCCCCGCACCCAACUCUGGAAGUGACGAGUCAGAUCUUCUUCCUCCAGACCCGAUCUACUACUUUAGUGAGUACCCCUCCAGUGCCCUGCGAGAGUGCCAGGAAGCGUACAGGCGUGUGUUGCGCUGCGCCGUCGAGACCGUGAAUGCGCAGCAGCGGGCGCUGGCGGAAGCGAUGGCAAUGACGAUGGCAGAUGCACAAGAAUCGUAAGGCCGCUCCUGUAUCGGUGCCUGUGUGUGUGUAUGUUGGUUAGAAGCUGCAGUGAACGCUGUCCUUGGUCUUGUGUUGUGGGGUGGUGUGUGUGCGCGCGCCUUUCUCAAUGCCUAUGUUUAUGGUGUGCCUCUCGGGUCAGUUCCCUUCUUUCGAGAGCAGCUUGAGACAACCUCAAAAGUACAGGCUUGCGUCAGACAAGGCACGGGACAGGGGCGGGGGGUGUCCGAGCACCUCAUGAAGAGCUGGUGUACGUGUGGGAAUGCGUAUGUUGGGGCCUGAUCUUCUCUUCGGGUCGACUCCGUCCACCUAAGUCUUGCAGACACACACACACGCACACAAACAUAUACACAUAUAUGCACCCCCGCUCUCCUCUAUGUCGAGGAGGCGCGAAGACAAACGCCGAUGGCUGCAGGGUCGACUCUUCUGACUGUGUGGCCUGCCUGUCGGUGUGCGAGCAUCGUCCACUUGAAACCUCUCCCGUAUGUUCUCUCCCUGCCCAUCCCUCCCUCGUUGACGUCUCGCACACAACUCUCUGGUGCACACAAG
rnacentral:misc_RNA from 1 species